GACGAACGCUGGCGGCGUGCUUAACACAUGCCAGUCGAACGGAAAGGCCCUGCUUUUGUGGGGUGCUCGAGUGGCGAACGGGUGAGUAACACGUGAGUAACCUGCCCUUGACUUUGGGAUAACUUCAGGAAACUGGGGCUAAUACCGGAUAGGAGCUCCUGCUGCAUGGUGGGGGUUGGAAAGUUUCGGCGGUUGGGGAUGGACUCGCGGCUUAUCAGCUUGUUGGUGGGGUAGUGGCUUACCAAGGCUUUGACGGGUAGCCGGCCUGGGAGGGUGACCGGCCACAUUGGGACUGAGAUACGGCCCAGACGCCUACGGGAGGCAGCAGGGGGGAAUAUUGCACAAUGGGCGGAAGCCUGAUGCAGCAACGCCGCGUGCGGGAUGACGGCCUUCGGGUUGUAAACCGCUGUCGCCUGUGACGAAGCGUGAGUGACGGUAAUGGGUAAAGAAGCACCGGCUAACUACGUG
rnacentral:rRNA from 1 species